CUGACAACUACCAUUCUGACAUUUCGGUAAUGAUGUGUGCGUGGACCUCGCGUUGAUUGUUAUUGGUUCAACAUUCUGUUUUUUUAUUGUUUGGUUUAUAAGGUUACCUUUGAUUUCGAUUAAUGCUGAUAAUAUCAUUUUCACUUUUGAUUCGUAUGGAUGUCAUAAUGUUAUUUUCAUUCUGUGAUAUGGGGUGUGAUGGUAAAUGUUAAUGUUCAUUUUUUUGAGCUCUGAUAUUAAUUGGUUUAAUGUUAUCAUGAUGUUGUUGUCCUACCGUAGCUCGUACCGUUCCUUGUUUUUGACAUGAAUACUGUUUGGUACUCGGCAUUAAUAAUAAGUUGAAAACAUUGUGGUUGUUUUGAUUCUGUUUAUAAUUAGGGAUUUAUGCUGUUAGAUUUAACAUAGUGUUAGACUUAAUAUAGUGUUGGUCUUGAGCAUGUCCGGCAAUUCGUGUGUUUUACUGCAUUGUCAUUUUUUUUCUUAAUAUUGCCUGUUGCUGUAGAUUUUGAGGGAUGAAUUUCGGUGCCUAUUUCGAUUCUUUUUGUGCUGUAGCAUUCUUCUGGGGUGUAAAUACUGUAAAUAAUUUCUGCAGAUUGGUAAAGUUGUUGUUCGGUUGUGUCAAUCCCAUAAUUCCUAUAACAUUUUUUAUUUUGAGUUCAUGUAAAUAUUGUACUAUCCUCCUUUCAAUUGCAUCUUCAAUUCUCAAUGAUGUUUUGUGCUUGAGAGUGGUGUUAUAAUAUUGCACGGUUAUGUUGUUUUAUUGCGUUUUGUUUAGACUGCAAUUGCAAUAUGGUGAGUUGUUGCN
rnacentral:lncRNA from 1 species